rnacentral:lncRNA from 1 species
UUUUUUUUGUUUUUUUUCAAAGCUUUAGGGAACUUAACACUUUCUUAUUAAGUCAUUUCAAAUUGUGGAUAAUCAGCAUAGUAUAUACAAGCACCAGCUUCUUUGACGUUCUUGAGCGUUAGCUUCUUCAUGUGCACAGUUGGGAUAAAUAUAUAAUGCCUACCUCACCUUAGAGGAUUAUGAAGAUUAAGUGGGCUAAACUAUGUAAAACCUCAGUUUACAAACAGCUGGUUAGUGGUGGAGCCGGUACUGAAAUCCAGGAUUACCUAACUCCUGAGACUGUCUUUGACUCUUUAUUUUGAAAUGAGUUGAACAUACAGGAAAGUUGCAAGAGUCAUACAAAGAACUUCUGUAUACUCUUCCUCCAGAUUAACCAAUUGUUCAGCUCUUGCUGCCUGAGCCCAUGUUUUCCAUCAGAGUGCUGUGGGGUCUGGAAUAGUCUAUAAAAUGGGUACCAUAAUUGUUCUGACCUUGGGGGCCCAUUAUGAAGGUUGAAUGAGUUCACACAUGUGAAAAAUAAGAUGCAUAAAUGAAUAGCUGCAGCAAAGCCUAACAGGACCUCUGACCAGUGAGGAGCCUAGUGUAGUGACAAAGUAGGAAGUAAGCCUUUCCCCCAGGGUGAAGGAAAGUGGGAGCUUGGAAAGCCUGCAGAGGAGGUGACCUCUGAGGUCAGUCUUUAAACCCCAGCCAUCCAGGAUCAGAACAAAACAGUGAUUUCCAUGCUCCACCCUUAGUCUUCUCCCAGAGAAAGGGCUGAAUUUGAAAUAUAUAUAUAUAUAUCUAAGGAAUAUUAUCUGAAUGUGAAUUUGGAGAAGUCAGCGCUGCUAGUUCUACCACCACCCAUGGAGGAGAGGUCACACCCAGCAUUUCCAAACUUAUUACUGUGAAGAUUAGAACAUCCCUCUGCCCCAUCUCCUAGCAAAUCCCCAGCCCCGGAGGAGAAUCAUGGUUUCCCAGGACUUAUCAUGAUUCUCAGAAGUGAGAAGUGGCCUUUCCAAAGCAUCUUCUCACUGAGCUGCACAAAGUCAAAUCCUUGUCCAAACGCAUGAAAACCACUUAAAUACCAUGCAAAGCCCACAUAAAACAUCUCCAUACACACACACAAAAAGGAUGUUCUUUGACUAAUUCUCUCAGGAGGUAAACCAUAACGGCUUGAAGGAGUUGACGUCUGCCAUCCAGGCCUUCAAGUUCAAGGAGAACGCACACAGCCACUGCAAGCAACGUCCAAAUACCCAAAACAGAUCUGACCCCUACCUUGUAAAAAGUUCUGUAUCCCACAAAAACAAGCCUGAAGAGGAUCGAUUUUGCAGAGUAAGCGUGACCCACUCCUUUUGUCUGUCGGUUCUCAUUCGACUUUUGGACUUAAUUGUGGAGAGUUAUAAUUAGAUCGUGCUUUGCCUUUUUUUCCCCCUUGAACUGAUAAAAAGUGCCGUAAAUCCUGGACAUCAUCCACGAGUACAGUCACUGAUGAAUUUUGCUAUUUUUUGCACAUCACACCAUAUGCAGGCCCGGCUGAGAGGCAUGGUUCCGUAUUCCUGGCAUGCAGGAGAGUCACUGAGAGAUAUCAUAUGGUCUCCUGGCAGAAGUACAAAGUGCCUCUUGCUGUUUGAUCUACUGUCUUAAACUUAAAUGCAAAAUCUGAUAAUUGGGUCAGGCAGGAGGAGAAACGGAGCCGUAAAGUUCUUUUCAUUUCCUUUUGCUAUUUCUCCACGUUUCAUCUUUUCUUCCUUUUUUGCCUGCUCUUUCUCCCACCUCCCUCUCCUUCUUUUUUUUUUUUUUAAUUUUCUCAGACCCUGAAGGAGACAGACCACCUUGCAUAUAGAAUGGAUUCAAAAAGGAGGUGGGUUUAUGGCUGGAUGACCCAUCAGAGAGUCUCCAGUCACCUCCGUCAGCUCCUCACUAGAUGCAGGUUAAAUUUUUGCCCCAUUAGCAACAGUCCUGGAUAACCAUCUCAAGCUUUGCAAAAGCCAAAGUCAUGGCUGGGUUUUACUUGUUUAGAAAUAUUACUGCCUUUCCAGACUUGGAUUUGUUUAAUGUAAAAGGAAUCCCAUCAUAGUCUCUCUGGUUUAGGGCAUUAAGCAGACAGAGGCUUGCACUUCAAAGAACACAAGAGAUAAAUGAAAACUGAACCCCCUCUUCAGGCAGAAGACUGUGAUAUGAAAUGUCUGACUUAGACCUUUUUGCCCAAUUGUUUCUAAACAGGGAGAGAGAACUUUUCAUUCUUGAUUUCGCCACUCUAAGACCUGUUGCAGAAUCGCCUGUGUAGUUCCUGAAUUGUUUUCACUGGAUGUAAACCCAAAUAUGGCUUCUUCCUAAUAUAUGUGAAUUUAGUGCUCCCUAAGGAGGGGACAAAGUUCAGAAGUGACAAAGCUCUUUGUCAGCAUUACUUUUUCAAAUCACAAAGGGCAGUUUCUCACCCUCAGGUGAGUCACUGACGUUUUCCCCAGGUCAGGCCACCCGCCUCACUGCAGUACCUGCUUCAUGGACACCCUGCUGCAGAGUUAGAAUGUUCCAGAAAUUUCCUCCCCCAGAGACCACCUGGGGAUUGGGGAGGGGGUGCCUGGGAGCAAGGCCCAUGGCUGUCCUCAUAUGGCACCCCCAUAGCAAUACUGUCAGCUGGACUAAGCAUGAAAGAACAUUCUAGACAGUCUUAGCCUUGAAUUGAAAAUUCGGUCCCGGCCACCUGAAGGGCAGGUGGGAUCAAGAAUGGAUUUUUCUCUGUGAGGAUGCAGAGCAUAAGUUUUGUCAAUGGCAGCAGAGCCACCUCCUUCCACUUGAAGCCUUUCCACUAAUGGCUUCACAAGUCACUACUUCAAUUUCUUUCUUUUUUUUUUUUUUUUAGGGCCACACCCAUGGCAUAUGAAGUUUCCCAGGCUAGGGGUCUAAUCAGAGCUAUAGUCGUCAGCCUAUGCCAGAGCCACAGCAACACCAGAUCUGAGCCAUGUCUGCGACCCACACCACAACUCAUGGCAACGUGGAAUCCUUGACCCACUGAGCGAGGCCACGGAUGGAGCUCACAACCUCAUAGUUCCUAGUUGGAUUCAUUUCUGCUGCACCACAACAGGAACUCGAGACUUCAAUUUCUAAAGCUUCCCAGCCUCGCUUCUGAUUGCUCCAUCCUUCCUGGGACCUAAGGGUCCCUGUAGAAAGUUGCAUUGCUCUAAAAGCAUCUCAGGACCAAAGCAAUAAGCCACCCAGAGCCCUGCUGUGAGCUUAGAACCAUCUCUCUUGCUCAGACACAGCAGCCAGAUCCGGAUGGAGUCCUAGAUCCAAGCAGCUGUACAGCUUGCCUUCUGGACAUUCUGGAUCCAGGGAGGCUGCAGAGAGCUGCAUCCAGAGUAUAGGCUGGGGAGGGAAAUUCAACAUCCCAGAAAGGCUGAGCAGUAUUCUUCCUGGAUGUCCAGAUUCUGGAGAGAGAAGGCUUAGGGGAAGGGGAGCCAUCCACAGAUUCUCUAGCUUGCCCAGACUUAGCAGCUGCAUUUAGGAGGCCUCCAAACUCACUCUGAUCUGAAAUGGAAAGAAACUCUUUCUCUGGAACAGGCAAUUGUGUGACAUAGUGAGUUGCAACCGUCUUUGAUGGAAGCUGCUUUGGAAGCGAACACUCAUGUUCACAGCCUGAAGAGAGCAUGGUUCUUGCACUCCCCAAAUCACAGCCCUUCCAUCAAGCAGUGAAGAUGCUGCUGUGGCUUCAGAGGACCUGGGUACUACCAUCUAUUAGUCACUCUUGCUGUUACACUGACACCAUUCCUAGGCAUCUUAUUUAACGUGACUCUGUUUCACUCCCUUCUCACCACAAUGGGGCUGGAGACUCCUUUUGUCAAAAACACUAAAUUAGACCUGUUCAAUGUAAUGUCAGAAAUGACUUAUGCAUGCCUACAAAAGGGCAGAUUUGAAACAACAGGGUCUCCCAUGUUCAGGGUUUCUGGAUGGAGUCACCCUCCCACUCAAAGGCUGACACGUCUAUAAGAGUGACUGACAGGUUAUUAAGUUCACAGUGGCUGGGGAGAGGGUCCCCCAAUCACUCCUUCCAUCCAACCCAAAGCCCAGUGGAAAAACAAACCUCAAUUUAAAAAAAAACACGUUCGUGAAUUUGCUUUAAUUUCACCCUCAAGGUUUUUUUCCAGUUACUGUAGAAAUUGGAUCCUUGUCUGGAUAUAUUUUUUAAGUGACCCUUGCUCUCAGGCUCCUGCCCUCCCCGCACUCCCUGCCCCAUCCCUUCUUCACCUCCUCCCCAUGCCUCAGUGACAAGAACCAUUUACCGUAAUUGCAGGUUCCCUGUUGGUAGCCACCAUUACCACAAAAAGUGAAAAUCGAAAACUCUUAGGUAGCAAUUAAUUUAGAAACAACGUUACCACAAUUCUUGUAUGGUGUAUGUAACCAUAAUAGCCACUUCAGUGGAAAAAGCAAAAAUAAAGGGGAGGACAAAUGACAUUAAUUUCCAUUUGCAACAAACCCAUAAUUGGAUCAAUGAUCAGAUCCUUGGGGAGAAAGUCAGCUGUCAUUGGUGGGUGAAGCCUGUGUACACACAGGAUAGAAGGAAGUGCAUGUGAGGUUGGACCUUGAAACCCAGCUGGAAGGGGUGGAGCACAUUUGAAACCCCAGAGGGAGUGGUGGUGACCCCCACGCUUUCUCUGGACUGCAGUGGUUUCUAGACCGUGGCAUCCACUUCUUCAUUCAUUAACAGGUGGCUUCAGGCACGUUUCCUGACCCUUUGGGGUUUGAUUUCUUCAUUUGCUUCCUGGGGAUUCUGAAAGUGCCCACCUCAUUAGGUUGUGAGGAUUAAAUGAGUUGAUCUCUAGAACGUACCUAAAAUGGUACCAUGUAUUUGGUAGACUGGUAAAAUGUUAGCUUCUUAUUAUUAUUCCUCAUAAUUAUUCUUUAUUAUCCAUAAGUCAAUGGAAAUAGGGGUAGUUUAGGCUUAGAAAAUGCAAACCCAUGUUUAAGCUCUCUUCCUUCUCACUGUGUCAUUUUAGGCAAGUUAGCCUCUCUGAUCUAUAAAACGGGGGUCUGUCCAGUUACAGAAAUGUGCCAGUGACACAGAGUAAGAAAUGGUAAAGCAUUUUGUAACUGAACAUGAGACCUCAGGACAUGUCUUUAUCCUGAGGACAUUAGGAUUGCCUCAGAGGGGACAGUUCCAGCAAGGCACCCUGGGUAGCCAGUCCCCUCCCUGGUGUCCAGGGGCAGGGAGCCUCCAUUUCUGCAUGGCUUCCAUGAACUGCUACCCACAGGAUCCACUGGUGUCUCCGGGUGGGACCCCCAGAGAUGUCCCUCAGCUUUUCUCUGCAGCUCUGGGGUCAGGUCAGAGGGAGGGGAGAAGCAAGGUAGAUGCUUGAUCCAGAAAUGCCCCAGAUCUCAGAGGAUACUGAGAGACGAGGAUGCCCCAGCCCUGCCGCAUGUGUGUGUUUUCUGUGUCUCAGAUUUUCAUCCGAAGAGCCCUGUAACUGGUGAGUCUGACGACCAGGAAUUCUGGGGAGGAAAUGGGGCUCCACAGAAAGUAAACAAGAACAUGCAGUACUUUAUACAAAUAUUCUCAAAGAACACUCCAAAAAUCCUUCUUCCCCACCCCCCAUGGCUGGGAGUGGAAGGGCUUUCUUCUCUCUUAUAAAUAUCUUUGCUUUUGCUCUUUUUUCUUAAUGCCUUGUUGCCCUGAAACAGCAACAAGGCAAAAAAGCCUAGGUAAAAACCAAAGUGUCUGGCCCUCUGCUGUGGAGAAUGGGGCUAAACCAGAGGCAACGAGAGGAUCGCAAGUGCAUAAAACACUGCAGAUGAUUUUUAUUUUAGUUUUCUGAUUGGUUUGUUACAGCUUUCUGAAGAUUUGGACUUCAGUAUGUAACCUAUACCCAAAUCAAUAUGCACAUACAAGUUUGUGUGCAUGAGAGUGUGUGUGGUGAAAGAACAUGUAAAGCAGUGUGUGUGUGUGUGUGUGUGUGUGUGUGCGCAUGAACAUAAGUGUGUCAGUGUUGCAUGUGCAUGGAAGUGUCUUUGAGCCUGUCUGAAUGUGUGUUGAGGGGGGCAGUUGCAUGUGCAGGAAGUGUGUGUCUGUAAGCCAGUCUGUGAAUUGUGAGUGUGGGUGUGUAUGGGUGUGUGUGUGUGCAAGAGUAUAGAUGUGUGGGUGUUGCAUGUGCAGGAAGUGUGUGUCUGUGAGCCGGUCUGUGAAUUGUGAGUGUGGGUGUAUAUGUGUGUGUGAAUAUGAGUGAAUGUCCACAAGCAUAUGAGAGGGAGCACGUGUGUGUGUGUGUGUGUGUGUGUGUGUGUGUGUGUGUGUUUGUGCUGAGAGCACUCUGGGUGUCAGCCCAGAAGAGACUCAGGACAUUUUGCAUCAGAUUCAUAGAAAAGGAGCCUGAAGUUAGGGGAGGGACAGAACACACCUAAUGGCUAGGCCAGUUCGUGGCAGAUGCCUGAUCUGAAAGCAAAGUUUCCUCCUCCAGCUCCCUUACCAUCAAGAUUCUUUUCCUUCCUCUUCGCUGACCUCUGAGACACCACCACCACCACUUCCCAGGCUGCUUUCUCACCUCCCCGUGUGCUUCUCUGGCCCUUGCUGUGAGGGACAUGCACCUGGGUCUAGAAGGGCAGAAGGGCAUCUGUCGUCCAAGGUUGACACUAAAAUGCCCUCGUACACCAUGAGGCUCAGGCUUCCCUCCCCGGAUCUUCCCUGCUCCCAUGGGGCUUAUGGAAGAACCUCAUCCUGGGUCUCCUGGCUGAGUCUGUUUGUUCUUCUCCAAGUUCCCUGGGUCAGCACAAGUCCAAGUGUGGAGGAGAUCUCUCUCUCAUCAGCAAUGUGAACACAAGGGCAGGAUGUGGGGCAUGAAUAAAUGGCAACCCCUGCCUUCCACCUACACAACUAAACUUUACCUAUUUGAACUUGAGGAAAGCAGUUUCCUAGAAUAUUUGGAGACCAAGAGCCCCGCUCCAUGUGCCAGGCUCCAUGCUCCUCAUGUGAACCUAUCCUGCAGAAGCCUCCCUUCCUGAUCCACCUGCUCUCUGAGUCACCUGUGUGCUCUGAGUCUCCCGGUUCUCUCAUCACGACAGAAAGUGCUGUGCCAGGUAAUGUCCCACUGAUCCACCAUCCAAAUCCACAUCUUGCCUGACCUUGAGCUGCCUACCUCUAAUUCUUCUCAGGCAUGGUCUAGAGCUUAAAGAGCACAUCACAUGGGAAAAAAGGCAAAGACUUUUGUGACACAGGUUUCCCCAUUCCCAGCUUUUUAUUCCACCACUCCUUUCCUGGAUGGGUCUGGCAUCUUAGUAACGGGGAGGAUGGAUUUUUAACAGUGCAAAGAGCCUGAGAGACCAUCUGAGGGCAGCCAGUUCAUGUAUCUGAGGACACUGAAAUCCUGGCAAGUACUGAUAGUUGGCCAGUCUAUGGCCAAGCUGGGAUGAGACCACGCCCCGUCCUGAGCUUUUUCACCUUCACCCGGCAGCUCCCCAGAUCUCAUACCAAUGCCUCCUCCCUGCUGGAGCUUUGAAAAGCCACUGCUGACCUGAAAAGUCCUGGAACCACUCUGCAGAGCAGGGAUGCAAAGGAUGUUGUGUCUUCCCUUUAGGUACAUAGUGAGUCUUCCUUCCAUGCUGCCCUAGGUUUAAUGCUCAAGAUGCUGACACUGCGAGACAAUGCCCUGCCCUCAAAGGGACCACAGACUGGCCUGUGGACAUCAAAUGUUCUCACCCUUGACUUCAUAUUAGAAUCACCUGGGGAGUCUCAAGUUCCAGCCAUGUUCCUGCAAAUGGCAUAAUUUUGUUCUUUUUAUGGCUAAGUAGUAUUCCAUUGUGUAUAUAUACCACAUCUUUCUAAUCCAACCAUCUGUCAAUGGCCAUUUGGGUUGUUUCCAUGUCUUGGCUAUUGUGCUGCAAUGAACAUGCAGGUGCAUGUGUCUUUUUUAAGGAAAGUUUUGUCCAAAUAUAUGCCCAAGAGUAGGAUUGCUGGGGCAUAUGAUAGUUCUAUGUAUAGUUUUCUAAGGUACCUCCAUACUGUUCUCCAUAGUGGUUGUACCAGCUUACAUUCCCACGAACAGUUCAGGAGGUUUCCCUUUUCUCCACACCCUCUCCAGCGUUUGUUAUUUGUGGACUUCGUAAUGAUGGCCGCUCUGACUGGCGUGAGGUAAUGAGAUCCUGCUGUGUAGCACUGGGAACUAUAUCUAGUCACUUAUGAUGGAGCAUGAUAUUGUGGGAAAAAAUAAUCUAUACAUGUACGUGUAACUGGGUCACCGUGUUGCCCAGUAGACAAUGGACAGAACACUGUAAACCAGCUAUAAU